GAUGAAGAACGCAGCGAAAUGCGAUAAGUAAUGUGAAUUGCAGAAUUCAGUGAAUCAUCGAAUCUUUGAACGCACAUUGUGCCCCCUGGUAUUCCGGGGGGCAUGCCUGUUCGAGCGUCAUUACAACCCUCAAGCUCUGCUUGGUAUUGGGCCCCGCCAGUUCUGGCGGGCCCUAAAGUCAGUGGCGGUGCCUUCCGGCUCCGAGCGUAGUAAUUCUUCUCGCUCUGGAGACCCGGUUGUGUGCUUGCCAACAACCCCCAAUUUUUUAAGGUUGACCUCGGAUCAGGUAGGGAUACCCGCUGAACUUAAGCAUAUCAAUAAGCGGAGGA
rnacentral:misc_RNA from 1 species